rnacentral:lncRNA from 1 species
GGCCACCUUCUCCUGGCAGAGCUCGAAUCCCUUAAUGAAUGCCUCUUGGCCAAACCUGACGUUCAGGUCCCUCAUCUCCGCAGAGGCCUUGAACUCCUCCACCGCUAGAACCUUGGCCUCCGAAACCAGGAUCGGGAUCUGCUCUACCAAAUUCGUGACCUCGGCCUCCGCCUUCCUCAUCGUCUCCUCCGAGGUUUGCUUCUCUUUCUCCAGGGCCUGCUUUUCCU